rnacentral:rRNA from 1 species
AUUGAACGCUGGCGGCAGGCCUAACACAUGCAAGUCGAGCGAGCGGCGGACGGGUGAGUAAUGUCUGGGAAACUGCCUGAUGGAGGGGGAUAACUACUGGAAACGGUAGCUAAUACCGCAUACCAUCAGAUGUGCCCAGAUGGGAUUAGCUAGUAGGUGGGGUAACGGCUCACCUAGGCGACGAUCCCUAGCUGGUCUGAGAGGAUGACCAGCGACACUGGAACUGAGAGACGGGCCAGCCUCCAACGGGAGGCAGCAGUGGGGAAUAUUGCACAAGGGGCGCAAGCCGGAUGCAGCCAUGCCGCGUGUGUGAAGAAGGCCUUCGGGUUGUAAAGCACUUUCAGCGGGGAGGCGUUACAAGCAGAAGAAGCACCGGCUAACUCCGUGCCAGCAGCCGCGGUAAUUC